UUUGUCAUUCUUGUCCAUGUUGCAAGUAAGGUUUUGGAAUCCAGUAACAUACAUGGUGGCUAAUAGUGAUCUUUAUUAUAAAGAUAAGAACUGAGUCUCUACUAAUCCUUAUCAAUUACUUUCUCUAAAUGUGGAUAUAAACACUUUUAGGAAUGAAUUAAAAACAUAAAAGAAACAUGAAUCUAUUUUCAUCAAAGAUGCAUAUAAAAAGAAAGCACUUUCAGAUAGAAAAGUGCCUAUAACCUCAACUUAAGUAAAUCUAUUAGAAUAUUAGAAAAGAUGCAAUUUUAGAUAAAACUUGAUUUCUUGCAAAAUUCCUUAAAACUUUUAUCUUAUUCCAUUAAAUUUCUUGGGCAUAUUAAUCCUUUCCUCUCUCAUGCUUAUAGAAAUAAGAUUUUUUAGAUUUAAUUGUGAGAUCAAUUUAAUUGCUUCUUUCAACUGCACAAUUUUUUAGUGUAAACUCUAAAUUU
rnacentral:lncRNA from 1 species